GCCCGAGUGGCGGAAUGGCAGACGCAGUUGACUCAAAAUCAACCGCCGAAAGGCGUGCCGGUUCGACCCCGGCCUCGGGCAC
rnacentral:tRNA from 1 species